AAGAAAGGAAAGAAGAGUGGAAGAAGUAAAGAAGAAGGAAAGAAGAAAAGAAAGAAGAGUGAAGAAAGAAAAGAAGAGUGGAAGAAGGAAAGAAGAAAAAAAAGAAAAGUGAAAGAAGGAAAGAAGGAAAGAAGAGUGAAAGAAGGAAAAAAGAGUGGAAGAAGGAAAGAAGAAAAGAAAGAAGAGUGAAAGAAGGAAAGAAGAGUGGAAGAAGAAAAGAAGAAGGAAAGAAGAGUGAAGAAAGAAAAGAAGAGUAGAAGAAGGAAAGAAGAGUGGAAGAAGGAAAGAAGAGUGAAGAAAGAAAAGAAGAGUAGAAGAAGGAAAGAAGAGUGGAAGAAGGAAAGAAGAAAGGAAAGGAGAGUGGAAGAAGGAAAGAAGAGUGGAAGAACGAAAGAAGAAGAGUGGAAGAAGGAAAGAAUAAUAUUCCUAGUUAUACAGUUGAAUGGAGAGGGACAGAGAGAAGAGGAGCCUUGGAACCUUGGCGCAGGUGUCAGUGAAGCACAGGUGCAAGCCAGUUUAAUGACCCUAUUAUGAUGUCAUAAUGGCCCAAUGUAAAUCAAUGGGAAAAUUUGUAUUAGUUUUUCUUUAAUAUCUUAAAAAGUAUAAAGUUUAGAAAAGUGAAAAAUACAUAGCAUAAGUGUCCUUUACAAGACCUACGCGCCAAAGUUUGAACGAAGUUUUUAAGUUAAGCGGUUCAAGCUGAAUUAAGCGCAGAAGUUCGGUAAAGAGAAUAAUAAUAACUAGAAAAUGCAUUUCCUGAAGGAAAUACCAGUGCAUGAAAUGCAAAAGUUAAGAAAGGAAGAAAAAAAAAGAAGAGUGAAAGAAGGAAAGAAGAAGAGUGAAGAGGGAAAAUAUUGAAAGAAGGAGAGAAAAUGGAGUGAAGCAGAGAGAUGGAGUGUGAGAGAAAGUAGAGUGAGAGGGAUAGAGAGAAAGAUAGAGAGAAAAAAAAGUAGAGUAUGGAAGGUGUCUCUUAAUAUUCCUAGUUAUACAGUUGAAUGGAGAGGGACAGAGAGAAGAGGAGCCUUGGA
ensembl:lncRNA